rnacentral:piRNA from 1 species
UCCUUGAGAUGGCCUUGCUCCAGGA